UGCCGAGUCGCCAAGUCGGUAAGGCACCUGGCUCUGGACCAGGCAUUCGUGGGUUCGAGUCCUACCUCGGCAGCCA
rnacentral:tRNA from 1 species